AGACGUCUACAUUAGAUACCCCCGUAGUCCCAGCCGUAAACUAUGCGCGUUAGGUGUAUCGGUGACCACGAGUCACCGAGGUGCCGAAGGGAAACCGUGAAACGUGCCGCCUGGGAAGUACGGUCGCAGGGCUGAAACUUAAAGGAAUUGGCGGGGAGCACCACAACGGGUGGAGCCUGCGGUUUAAUUGGACUCAACGCCGGGAAGCUCACCGGAUAAGACAGCGGAAUGAUUGCCGGGCUGAAGACUCUGCAUGACUAGCUG
rnacentral:rRNA from 1 species